rnacentral:tRNA from 1 species
GGUCCAAUAGUGUAGAGGUUAUCACAUGGGAUUCUGAUUCCCAUAACCCAGGUUCGAGUCCUGGUUGGACCU